rnacentral:lncRNA from 1 species
GAGGUAAAAGUUUUAAUCAGAUUAUAGCUAACGGGAGUGAUUUUUUCGUGCCUCGCAGCGAACAAUGACCUAGCUUGUUAAUUUUGUAAAGAAUCUGGAUAGCUUUCGAAGAGUCGGCUUGAAAUCUAGGCUACAAUGGCUAAAAGAAGAUAGGACUCGGUUUAUUCCUUGAGGGUCAAGAGUAAGAGAAAAAUAAUAUUUAGGUUGGCCAGAUCUA